GAUUGAACGCUGGCGGCAUGCUUUACACAUGCAAGUCGAACGGCAGCGCGGGCUUCGGCCUGGCGGCGAGUGGCGAACGGGUGAGUAAUGCAUCGGAACGUGCCCAGUAGUGGGGGAUAGCCCGGCGAAAGCCGGAUUAAUACCGCAUACGACCUGAGGGUGAAAGCGGGGGACCGAAAGGCCUCGCGCUAUUGGAGCGGCCGAUGUCGGAUUAGCUAGUUGGUGGGGUAAAGGCUUACCAAGGCGACGAUCCGUAGCUGGUCUGAGAGGACGACCAGCCACACUGGGACUGAGACACGGCCCAGACUCCUACGGGAGGCAGCAGUGGGGGAUUUUGGACAAUGGGGGCAACCCUGAUCCAGCCAUGCCGCGUGCGGGAAGAAGGCCUUCGGGUUGUAAACCGCUUUUGUUCGGGAAGAAAUCCUCUGGGCUAAUACCCCGGGGGGAUGACGGUACCGGAAGAAUAAGCACCGGCUAACUACGUG
rnacentral:rRNA from 1 species